AAAACUUUAAAACUUAUAAUACUUUAGUGAAUCCCGUAUUGAUCUCUUAAAGCAAAAAUCCCUUUAUAUUCGAGUAUAGAACCAAAUAUGAAUUGUUGGUGUCCAAAAAAGCAACUCAAUCUUACCUUAUUUCAAGGAGAGCUUAUGAAGAUUCAAUAGUCACUUCAAAAAGAACGGACUACGAGAUCAUUUGGUCAGCUCUACAAUGUUAGGUUAGCUCGUCUAAUGAUAAGUCAGCUCUAUCAUGUUUAGAGGUAAGCUCAUCCAGUGAUAGGUAGCUCUACCCGUCGUCGUUUAGAAACAUCAUGAUUUCAAUUUUGAGCAUAAGUCUCUUAAGUAAUGUCAUCACCACCCAAACAAUCACUCCUAAAGUGACAAGUGGCAUCCAUGGCGUCAGCAUCUCAUUCUCAACCAAUUAGAAAUAAGCAAUGAUUACUUAAGUAAUAGGUAAUCAUGACCUAGGCCAUGAUAACCUGUUCGGUCGACCUCAACGACCAAUCAGCAUCCUGGGCAGUGGCACGCAAUUUUAGGUUGGUACUAUAUUUGGCCCCUGUUUGGCUCAGAUUUUAAUCAAAUUUUAAUAUGAGUUAAAGUCCAACAAUCAAUAUUAACCAUAUCUUUCAUGGGUUUCACAACUUUUCAAUCACACAUUUUAAAAAAUUCUGUCAAAAUCUACUAAAAAUCUAAUUUUAAUCCUCACCGAACAUCCUCCAAAUGUGAUAUUAAGCGGUCAAGUUGCCCGAAUAGAAAUCUAUAAAUAUGUGCAAAGGGUACUCCUAUGAAUGCAAAUUCCUUUUUUUCUUGCUAUUCAAAUUAGCAGUUAAGCUGAUUAAAAUUGACCAUGUCAUUUUUGAACAUCAUAGCUUGGCGCUAGAAAAAGUACCCUAGUGAGUACAACUAUCAUCUCUCAAAAUUUCCUAAAAAUCAGAAUUAUAUUUUUAAAUCUGGCGCAUUUUCUGGAUUCGUUUUCUUCUACCAGGGCUGCCAUGUCCUCGAAGAACAUCGAUUCAUCUAUAUUGACAUGCAAAAUUAAUUAUGGGUUCACAUACUACAACUUGGAUGUAAUAUUUCAUUUUAAUACAUCAAAUUCGCAGAAUCAAAUGCUUUUCUAGGAAUUUCUACACUUCUAUGCUUCAUCUUGGUGAAAAGAAGCCGUUUGCGCGCUAUGGUAAUGAUGACAGUAUCAACUCCCAUUCUCCUUUGGAGCCUAUGACCAUAAUGCAACUUUGCUGUGCCACCGUUGUGGCUAUCAUUGUUCUAUGCUUCUCCGUCACUUCCAACGCCAACAAUAUCAUUAAAAUCCUAGCUAAAGUCCCCUGAGUUCUCAACCUUCAAAUGCUACUUAACGGAGACCCACUUGGCAGAGGAUAUAAACAACCGGGAAAUAUAUCUAUGAAGUCAUAAAGUCGUGAAUGAAGGAUUUUUCCUCUAAAAGAGAUCGGUAGGAUAGAACAGUGCUUCCAUCCGUUCUCCGACUACCCCUAGCUCAGCAUUCAAAUAUGAUAAGGAGAUUUCCAACAUAGAAUUUUUCUCAAGAAACUGCUCCAAUAUUUCCAGUUUCUUCAAGAAAUAUACUCUCUCAUUUUGUUGUCUAGAGCAAGUUUCCUUCAGAUUUAAAUUCUCUUCCUUCAAUACCAUAACUGAUGAUCCCAAUGACAUUGGGUUAAUGCCUAAUGCAUUUACCUACUCCAAAACUAAAACAUAUUUUUGUUCAAGUCAUUCAUUUCUUCUUUCGGACGGUAUAUUUCUUGCUGAAGAGCACUUCUUUCAUCAAGUCAAAGCUCAACCUCCUCUUAAAAGUUUCACGGUCCUUCCUUUCAAGGCAGUGAUCUCAUUUCCCAUAUCCAUUAUUGACAAUAAAGAUAUGGCCAGCCAGACACUGCCACCACACCUUGAUACCAACCUGGAAUGGAUCGUGGAGCCUGAAAAGGUCUAGGGAAUCCGAGAACGUAGGAUGCCCUCCAGGAUAAGAGGUUCUGCUCCAGUGGAAGAGACUCGCUGAAUCAGAAGCAUCUUGGGAAUCUGUGGCCUCACCUCAAUCAUCCAGCAAUUUCCUAAUUUCCACCUUGGGAAUAAGGUGUCUUUGAACCGGGGGUAAAAUAUGCUUAUUCCACUAUUGCGUCUUCUCUUUCUACUAACGCGAUGCAUAUGAAAGUAUCUUAUUUAACCUCAAGUAACAUGAAAUUGUGUAAUAAAAAAGCAAGAAUCUACUAGUACAUGAAAAAUAGGAUGCUAAAUAUAAUAUAUUGCAAGUAUUAGUCAAAAACUCAAGAUCCAAAUACGAAACAUGCCUUACCCCCAACUAAAUACAAAUACAAUUACAUUGCCAAUCUGACACAGGUGGGAUGGUUCUUUGCUAUCAAUCGUCUUCAUCACUUCCAUAUUGUUGGCAUAAAGAUCGUAAUCCACUGCCUGCAAUGGAUCCUGCCUCCUAAUUCUUCGACUCUUCCUUUCCUGCUUUGUUACUAUUGGAAUCAGGAAGUGGUUUCUUAAGAAUAGAAAUUGUGCCGAUGAAGACUCUAGAGUGAAUGGUAUAUUUCUUCUUUUGAAGCUGUCAAGAAACCUGCCUUUCCUUGAAGAAUCCGUUGGGUUAGGAAGCUCAGUGGAUAGCUUUCUUCUCUUCUCAGGUGAAAAUACAGGCAAAUCUUCUUCUGGUGCCCCUCUCAAACACAGAUUCUAUAAGACCUUCAUCCUCUUCUUCCAAUUUUCUUUCAUUCACCUCAUUUCUUACAAUAUGCUUUCGUGCCCCUUAAACACAGGACGGUGUCCUAUGGGUGAUUGCUGAGUUCCCAAGGCCUUCUCAGGCUCCACAAUCCAUUCCAGGUUGGUGUCAAGGUGUGGUGGAAGUGUCUGGCUGCCAUAUUAGAUCCAAGUGCUUUUCUUAAUUGAGAAAACAAAAAUUAUAGGAUUGGCACCAUCUAGCUAAGAGUUCAUACAUAAGAUGCCAGUUUUGAAAGGGAGGAUGCUAUUUAUUGUCUUCUCGUGAUGAUAAAGAACAUCUAGUUCAGGCGCAACACUUGACUGUGUUUUGUAGGUUUCUUUAGAGAUUAGAGGCAUCACUUGUAAAAAAUCAGCAGUUCAUUGAUUUUUCUCUUUUAUUUCCCGUCUUUCCUUGGUAUAAUGGUUCUACAAUAUAUAUCCAUUGUCUUCAAUGGCAUGCUCUGCCAUUUGAUGUUUUACAAUUUCGUCUUCCUAAGGCUAAAUAUGGUCACUUCCUGUUGUGCAUAAAUGGUUCUUAAAGUGGAAUUGGAGGUACAUCGCCCCUAAAGAUAAUGCUUGAGGAUCUAACAAAGGUCUCAUAAGUCUAUUUUACUCAUUUGAAUUUCGUCUAUUCAGAGAAGGCUCUGUCUUUCAAGAAAACCAGUGCUACAUGGAACUCUGUUCAUGUUUCUCAAGCAAGUGAUGCAAAUAUGCAUGAAGUAGCAUGAAGUAGUUCAAUAACCAUAAAACGUGACUCAAGAUGUAGAGGGGAACAAUCUUCAUGAGACUAUUUGCAAGUGGUUCAUCCGAAGCCAUUUCUUGGGUCUUUCAAUGCUCUGCUACUCUAUCUUUUUAUCUUUUUUAUUAUUAUUAUUAUUAUUUUAGUAAAGAUCAAAACUCUCGUACACUGGGCAAACCCUCUGUUGCUCUAUCUUAUUUUCAUGGUUUCUUGCUUAGCUUGUUACUUCCUUCAUUCUAGUCAGAGUAAUAAUAUGGGGCAAAGUUCAAGAAACAAUCCAUCUAUAACUAAAAUGUACUGGCGAAUGAACUUUGAUCAUUAUAUCCUGACCUCCAAAAUAUAGGUGGUUACAAGUAUGUCCUCGGUUAUGACCAAAUAACGCUGCUUAUUGUGUUCUCUUUCCUCCCAAUUUUUGGAUCAAAGGGAUUGCAUGGAGUCGGAGAGCAUUUUCUCCUUCCCACAUCCUCAAACCAAACAAAUGGCUACUCUAUGCACCAACUCUCUUCCAGUUACUCAGUAGACCAUUAUAGGAAACAUACAAUGAAAAGUCCGUAUUAUAAGAGAACAAAAUAGCUAUAACAAAGUCAUUAGUGUUUACAUUAGAUGUGCUUCCUCAUCAGUCUUGCUGCUACUGAUCGUAUCAUAUACCUUCAUUAACCACAAUAUGCACAAGUAACCAUUUCCUGGUUAAGAUAUUAGUGUAGAAUUUCAAAGAUGAAAUUGUUAAUUUUAUAACAAUCGCGUUAAGAAUCAUCACGUGCAUAGGCCAUAACAGUAAAAGAAACAAACAGGCUUUGCAGCCACAAGUAUGCACACACAAGGACAUCAAAAUGAUGAUGGAGAAGGGUCCGAAAAUUCGAACAACUUCAGAUACUCGCAAGUACACAUGUUAUCAAUUGAAACUCAUUCUGGCAAAGUGGGCAUAGGCUUGUGAUGGUAGACCCAAUUCGAA
rnacentral:lncRNA from 1 species